rnacentral:rRNA from 1 species
AGAGUUUGAUCCUGGCUUCAGAGCGAACGCUGGCGGCAGGCCUAAAACAUGCAAGUCGAACGGGAUCCUUCGGGAUUAGUGGCGGACGGGUGAGUAACACGUGGGAACGUGCCUUUUGGUUCGGAACAACUCAGGGAAACUUGAGCUAAUACCGAAUGUGCCCUUCGGGGGAAAGAUUUAUCGCCAUUAGAGCGGCCCGCGUCUGAUUAGCUUGUUGGUGAGGUAAAGGCUCACCAAGGCGACGAUCAGUAGCUGGUCUGAGAGGAUGAUCAGCCACACUGGGACUGAGACACGGCCCAGACUCCUACGGGAGGCAGCAGUUAGGAAUCUUGCGCAAUGGGGGAAACCCUGACGCAGCCAUGCCGCGUGAAUGAUGAAGGUCUUAGGAUUGUAAAAUUCUUUCAGCGGGGACGAUAAUGACGGUACCCGCAGAAGAAGCCCCGGCUAACUUCGUG